rnacentral:lncRNA from 1 species
AUCACGAUCCACAUUAACGAGCCUAGGAAUCAAUACAUUACUCACGUGAAAUCUAAAAUCAUACUGAAAUUCUUAACUACUUAAAGAGAAGCCAAAGUAACAUAUGAAGUUUUGAACUUUUCAGAAAUGAAAGAAUUAGAAUCAUGCUUUAAAGCUUUACACAAACUAAACAUGAAAUGAAAUAAUCAUCUGCUAAUGCAUAUCCAGGACACUAAAGAAGGGAAAGAUGAAAUAAACCAAUUUGGAUAAAACUCAAAAAUAAAGCAUGAAAAUGAUCUUCAAAGACGAACAAACUUAUUACAUUUUUCAGAAAAUUAUCCUAUUUGUUCACACACAACAAACACAUUCCCAGCUUCAUUUGGCCACUUAAUAGUUCGAGAAAAUACCUGGAAAUACAAAGAGAAACAGAAGAAGUAGAGAAUCAAUAGUAAACAGCAACAACAAAUUAGUACCCGGAUUCAAUGGAGCAGUAACCUAGAAACCAAAUAGCUUCAAGCCAAGCCUUUAAAUUCCCAAAAUCAAACCAUUUUUCAACCAGGUGCAAGGAUUUGAAAUGCUUCAAAAACUCUAGAUAAUAGGGAGGAUUAGGAAACCUAAACUAAGCAGAAUUUUAGAUAUUUUCAAACAGAGAAAUGUGAUAAAUCUAAGUGUUAAUUCAGAGUUUCCUCAAAAAUUCAAGCCGUUUCAGUUUUAGAGGAUUUUAUCUCUUAAUUCUUCCUCUUUGAGCUGGAAGAAAAGGUGACUUUGUAGGCAAGAUUUUAAGGAUGCAGAAACAAGCUCAUUUUUCCACUUAAGACCUAUUACAAAAUUUUGGUUUUUGCUCAAGUAACCUUAGUUUAGAAAUCGAUUUUUCAUGUAGUCCUAAAGGCAGCUUCCAGGAAGCUUCCCAAAUCAGUAACAUAAGAUUCCUUCACCUAGAAUUCCUAAUUAGACCUUUGAACCUCUAUCUUUUACCCUUAAAACCCAAACAAAUAUGGGUCAUGAGUCAAAUUGACCUAAUGUUUAAAACCAGCAUGACCUGGGCUAAUCCCUUUUCUUUGGACCCAAGUCCAAGUCAUAAAUCCAACAGAAGAGCCAAGAAGGCAGAAAAAUAAAGCGUUAUUCGGAGUUCAAUCAUACCUCGUGAACCAAAUGUUCUCAACGGCCAAAAAACUAUAGAAAAAAAUACACAAAACCAAACCAACGAACAAAACUAAUGAAAUUAUCAUGCAACCUAAAUUAAAAUAAACACAUGUAGAAAUGAUUUGAGAAAACAGAAGAAAAAGAAGAAACCAGAAGAAGAUAGAAAAAAAUAAAGAAGAGAAAAUACUAAAAAUACCUAUUGAACUAGGCGGGCACAUAACCUUGAACCAACUUCGAAGGGGACUUCGAAUGCAGACCGGAAUAUACCUUAAUCGUGUGUUCUCAGAUGAAAACACGCGAAUAAAGUCUAUUUCAAUCUCAAAUCUUCAAAUAGACUCGCCGAUUUGGGGUUUUGGAAUGUUAGGGUUCGAGCUUUCAUUCAAGAUUCAACGAUUUUGAGGUUGAUUCGAGGGAAAGAAGUUAGAGAUUCGGAAUGAGGGGAUGAAGGGGGUGCUAUGGUGUAAAUCCAGGCCGAUUUUGUGGUGGUGCCACCGGCCAGACAUGGUGGAAAAUGGGGCGGCAGAUUAGGGUUCUUGGUUUGGUCUCUAAAGAGAAGGGGUGAGAGAGACGAGUAAGAGG